rnacentral:rRNA from 1 species
AUCCCUGGAAUCCCCUGGAAACAGGGGAGUGCCCUUCGGGGAGCCAGGAGACAGGUGCUGCAUGGCUGUCGUCAGCUCGUGUCGUGAGAUGUUGGGUUAAGUCCCGCAACGAGCGCAACCCUCGACCUUAGUUGCCAGCAUUCAGUUGGGCACUCUAAGGUGACUGCCGGCUAAAAGUCGGAGGAAGGUGGGGAUGACGUCAAAUCAUCAUGCCCCUUAUGACCUGGGCUACACACGUGCUACAAUGGGCGGUACAAAGGGUCGCGAACCCGCGAGGGGGAGCCAAUCCCAAAAAGCCGCUCUCAGUUCGGAUUGCAGGCUGCAACUCGCCUGCAUGAAGCCGGAAUCGCUAGUAAUCGCGGAUCAGCAUGCCCGCGGUCGAAUACGUUCCGGCCUU